GACGAACGCUGGCGGCGUGCCUAAUACAUGCAAGUAGAACGCUGAAGGAGGAGCUUGCUUCUCUGGAUGAGUUGCGAACGGGUGAGUGACGCGUAGGUAACCUGCCUGGUAGCGGGGGAUAACUAUUGGAAACGAUAGCUAAUACCGCAUAAUAGCAGUUAUUGCAUGAUAACUGUUUGAAAGGUGCAAUUGCACCACUACCAGAUGGACCUGCGUUGUAUUAGCUAGUUGGUGGGGUAACGGCUCACCAAGGCGACGAUACAUAGCCGACCUGAGAGGGUGAUCGGCCACACUGGGACUGAGACACGGCCCAGACUCCUACGGGAGGCAGCAGUAGGGAAUCUUCGGCAAUGGACGGAAGUCUGACCGAGCAACGCCGCGUGAGUGAAGAAGGUUUUCGGAUCGUAAAGCUCUGUUGUAAGAGAAGAACGAGUGUGAGAGUGGAAAGUUCACACUGUGACGGUAUCUUACCAGAAAGGGACGGCUAACUACGUG
rnacentral:rRNA from 1 species